rnacentral:misc_RNA from 1 species
UCCGGCUUAACGCCGGCAGUCUCCCUAGAGUGCCCAACUGAAUGGUGGCAACUAAGGACGAGGGUUGCGCUCGUUGCGGGACUUAACCCAACACCUCACGGCACGAGCUGACGACGGCCAUGCAGCACCUGAACCGGCAGUCCCCGAAGGGAAAAUCCUAUUUCUAGGAUGGUCCGCCGUUGUCUAGCCCAGGUAAGGUGGGGAUGACGUGUCCUUGAUAGG